GAUGAACGCUAGCGACAGGCUUAACACAUGCAAGUCGAGGGGCAGCAGGGGAGUAGCAAUACUCCCGCUGGCGACCGGCGCACGGGUGAGUAACACGUAUGCAACCUGCCCUUGUCAGGGGGAUAAGCGGAAGAAAUUCCGUCUAAUACCGCAUAAUGCUGCGGGGAGACAUCUCCCUGCAGCCAAAGAUUUAUCGGACAAGGAUGGGCAUGCGGCGCAUUAGCUGGUUGGCGGGGUAACGGCCCACCAAGGCGACGAUGCGUAGGGGUUCUGAGAGGAAGGUCCCCCACACUGGUACUGAGACACGGACCAGACUCCUACGGGAGGCAGCAGUGAGGAAUAUUGGUCAAUGGCCGGGAGGCUGAACCAGCCAAGUCGCGUGAGGGAAGACGGUCCUAUGGAUUGUAAACCUCUUUUGUCAGGGAGCAAAAACUGCCACGCGUGGCAGGAUGAGAGUACCUGAAGAAAAAGCAUCGGCUAACUCCGUGCCAGCAGCCGCGGUAAUACGGAGGAUGCGAGCGUUAUCCGGAUUUAUUGGGUUUAAAGGGUGCGUAGGCGGACAGUUAAGUCAGCGGUAAAAUUGAGAGGCUCAACCUCUUCCCGCCGUUGAAACUGAUUGUCUUGAGUGGGCGAGAAGUAUGCGGAAUGCGUGGUGUAGCGGUGAAAUGCAUAGAUAUCACGCAGAACUCCGAUUGCGAAGGCAGCAUACCGGCGCCCAACUGACGCUGAAGCACGAAAGCGUGGGUAUCGAACAGGAUUAGAUACCCUGGUAGUCCACGCAGUAAACGAUGAAUACUAAUUGUUCGGGUCAAAUGAGAUCUGAGUGAUACAGCGAAAGCGUUAAGUAUUCCACCUGGGGAGUACGCCGGCAACGGUGAAACUCAAAGGAAUUGACGGGGGCCCGCACAAGCGGAGGAACAUGUGGUUUAAUUCGAUGAUACGCGAGGAACCUUACCCGGGCUCAAACGACACAGGAAUGAUCUGAGAAAUCAGGCAGUCCUCCGGGACCUGUGUCGAGGUGCUGCAUGGUUGUCGUCAGCUCGUGCCGUGAGGUGUCGGCUUAAGUGCCAUAACGAGCGCAACCCCCAUCGACAGUUGCCAGCAGGUGAAGCUGGGCACUCUGUCGAGACUGCCGGCGCAAGCUGUGAGGAAGGCGGGGAUGACGUCAAAUCAGCACGGCCCUUACGUCCGGGGCGACACACGUGUUACAAUGGCAGGUACAGCGGGAAGCCACCUGGCGACAGGGAGCGGAACCCGAAAGCCUGUCUCAGUUCGGAUUGGAGUCUGCAACUCGACUCCAUGAAGCUGGAUUCGCUAGUAAUCGCGCAUCAGCCACGGCGCGGUGAAUACGUUCCCGGGCCUUGUACACACCGCCCGUCAAGCCAUGGAAGUCGGGAGUGCCUGAAGUGCGCCCAACCAGCGCCCUAAGGUAAAACUGAUGACUGGGGCUAAGUCGUAACAAGGUAGCCGUACCGGAAGGUGCGGCUGGAACACCUCCUUUCUGGAGAUCCCGGUCGAAGACCGGUCGGAUCACCAAAGAAAAUACGACGCGAAGAUACAACAGAUCGACAGGAGGUCAAUGACCGCUGUUUCGACUGAAGGAUCGACACUGGAGCAGAAUAUCGCUUGAUAUUCCUCUUUACUACUUCGGAAUCUAUUGACCCAUAGCGUCGGAAAGAAUGAUCAGGAUCAUAUCGGACCCGACACACGGGGGAUUAGCUCAGCUGGCUAGAGCACCUGCUUUGCAAGCAGGGGGUCAACGGUUCGAAUCCGUUAUUCUCCACCAGGCUUCAGUGAAGCCGCCAGAACGAGAACAUUGACAUAUUGGAGACUCAAACAAAUAGAAUCCGCUUCGGAUCGGGUCGCGCAGCGACUUGAGAAGAAGUAAGAUUCCACGAGCAAAUCAAAUUUCAUAAUGCAAUUUUUGCCAGAGUAGCCGGCAUGCGCCGCAAGGCGUAUGCGAGGUAAAUUCUACGACGGAAAGAAAAAAAGAAAGGAGAAAAGGGCACAUGAAGGAUGCCUUGGCUCUUGGAGGCGAAGAAGGACGUGAUAAGCUGCGAUAAGCCGCGAAGAGAGGCAAAUACUCAUUGACUCGCGGAUUUCCGAAUGGGGCAACCCGGCACGAGCGAUCGUGUCACCGUUCAGAGAACGGGGCGAACCCGGGGAACUGAAACAUCUCAGUACCCGGAGGAAAAGAAAACAAAAGUGAUUGCGCAAGUAGUGGCGAGCGAACGCGCACGAGCCCAAACCGGAGACGUUGCAAAGCGCCGUCCGGGGUUGUAGGACCGGCGACAGCAUCUAUUGAGGACCGAUAGCCGAAUCUUCUGGAAAGGAGAGCCGCAGCGGGUGAAAGCCCCGUAGGCGAAAUCGGGAAUUGAAGAUCAGCCGGCACCUGAGUAACGCGGAACACGAGAAAUUCUGCGCGAAUCUGCGGGGACCAUCCCGUAAGGCUAAAUACUACCAAGAGACCGAUAGCGAACC
rnacentral:rRNA from 1 species